AAGUCGUAACAAGGUUUCCGUAGGUGAACCUGCGGAAGGAUCAUUAUUGAAUACGAUUGGGACUGAUGCUGGCUCUUCACUGAGCAUGUGCUCGUCCUAUUCUAUUUAUCUUCUCUUGUGCACAUUUUGGUAGUCUCGAGCUAAUCAACCUUUGCGGGUUGGAUGUGAGGGCUGCUGGCUUCGGUCAGCUCCCUUUAAUCAACCUUGAGCGCAAGCUCAAGGCUUGGAUAUGAGGGUGGUUAUUCUCCCUUUGAUUCGAGACUCUGUUUUCAUAUACACCAUAAAGUCAUAGAAUGUCUCUUUAACGACCUGACGGUCAUUAAAAUCUAUACAACUUUCAGCAACGGAUCUCUUGGCUCUC
rnacentral:misc_RNA from 1 species